GUGCCCACUUCGGCAGCACAUACGCUAAAAUUGGAAUGAUACAGAGAACAUUAGCAUGUCCCCUGUACAAGAUGUCACACAAAUUUGUGAAGUGCCCCAUAAACAU
ensembl:snRNA U6 U6 spliceosomal RNA